rnacentral:rRNA from 1 species
AACGAACGUUGGCGGCGUGGAUUAGGCAUGCAAGUCGUAACGCGAAAGAGGGGGCAACUCCUCGAGUAAAGUGGCGAACGGGUGAGUAACGCGUAGGAAACCUGCCUUCGAGAUGGGGAUAACACUCCUAACGGGGUGCUAAUACCGAAUGACACUGCGGGAUCGCAUGGUUCUGCAGUCAAAGGUGGCCUCUGCUUGCAAGCUACCACUCAAAGAUGGUCCUGCGUCCCAUAGCUAGUUGGCGGGGUAACGGCCCACCAAGGCGACGAUGGGUAGCCGAUCUGAGAGGAUGACCGGCCACACUGGGACUGAGAUACGGCCAGACUCCUACGGAGGCAGCAGUCGAGAGGCUUCGGCAA